rnacentral:tRNA from 1 species
GCAGUUGUGGCCGAGUGGUCAAGGCGAUGGACUAUAAAUCCAUUGGGGUGUCGCCGCGCAGGUUCGAAUCCUGCUGACUACG